AAACCAACUGGGAUUACCUUAGUAACGGCGAGUGAAGCGGUAAAAGCUCAAAUUUGAAAUCUGGUACUUUCAGUGCCCGAGUUGUAAUUUGUAGAAUUUGUCUUUGAUUAGGUCCUUGUCUAUGUUCCUUGGAACAGGACGUCAUAGAGGGUGAGAAUCCCGUUUGGCGAGGAUACCUUUUCUCUGUAAGACUUUUUCGAAGAGUCGAGUUGUUUGGGAAUGCAGCUCAAAGUGGGUGGUAAAUUCCAUCUAAAGCUAAAUAUUGGCGAGGGACCGAUAGCGAACAAGUACAGUGAUGGAAAGAUGAAAAGAACUUUGAAAAGAGAGUGAAAAAGUACGUGAAAUUGUUGAAAGGGAAGGGCAUUUGAUCAGACAUGGUGUUUUUUAAAUGUGCAAGUCUCUCGUGGACAUGUGCCUCUGGAAAUUAACACUGGGCCAACAUCAGUUCUGGCGGCAGGAUAAAUCAUUAAGAAUGUAGCUACCUCGGUAGUGUUAUAGCUUUUUGGAAUACUGCCAGCUGGG
rnacentral:rRNA from 1 species